UAGCCUAUCCCACGCAGUGACUUCUGAGGCGCCCAGUGGUCUGCAGUCAGGAGUGUGUGGUGGCCGAGGGAGCAGCCUCCCUAUCCUCGGCAUGACCUCCUUGUCUCAGGUGCCUGCACCUCCCUGGCUGCUGUCCAGGCUCCAUGAGUGCCCAGAGCUCCUUGGAAGACAGCCCGGAGGAGGGCUCCUCGGAAGCCAGGCAGAAGCCCAAGGUCAAAGAUGCUUUCAAGGACAUUUCCAGAUACUUCUCCAAGGAAGAAUGGGCCAGGAUGGGAAAGUUUGAGAAAAAACACUACAGGAAUGUGAAAAACAACUACAAUAUGAUGCUUUCUAUAGCCGUUCCCUUACAGGAGGAAGAUUUUGUUCCUUCCAGGUCUCAAACCCCAUCGACCGGCUUUCAUGUGUCAAUGAAGGCGAACCAGCAACCCCCCGGUGGAUGACACUGAGGAGUCUGAUGAAGAGUGGACACCUCGGCAGCAAGCACUCGGGAGGCUGAGGCGAGGGGUCUUCUCCGGGAGUGUGCAGCCAGCCUGGACUAGAAAGGGAGACCCUGCCACAAAAACAAACACACAAACAAACAAAGAGGACCCCACACGGUGUUCUGGCUUUUUCCUGAAAUCCCCGGGCAGUGCAACAAGAAGCAAUAUUGGUUUUUGUUACUGGGGAAGGAACUCAGGACCUUGUGAAGAGUUGAAUUUUGUCCGGAAACUGGGAAAAGACAAAGCCAGUAUUUUGCAACUCAGCAGACCCCAUUCCCGGAGACCUCGGAGGGAAACUGAAAAACGAUUAGACCGAAUAACAGUGCAGUGGAGUGGCAGUUCCACACCUGACCACUUGCGCCUGCAUUUAUUUUUCCUUCCCUUUUCCUACCUGUGAGUUUCGCAAUCUCCAAUCGAGAGGCCCUGGGUUCUGCAGGACCGAAUAGAUCAAAAUGGCCCGGAAAAGCAUCCCACCUGUUA